ACGAAUUUAUAACUCUGAAUCUGUAUGUAGCAGAGGAGUAUGUAAUUUCAGUUUUUGAAGAACCCUGAUUCCAUCCAUUAUCGAUCUCAAGGCAUAAAAGCGCACGAUGCCAUGUGUACGUUGCUAUAAGAAGAAUUUGUGGCCUCGAAGACCUUUACUGUCUCGAAUACCCUCUCCGGCAAUCGCAACAAUGUAUGGAUCACGUAGUACUCUGACAAUCAGUCUCUCUUGAGUGAUUUUCAUCCUCAUUAUUGUUUACGUCGGUACAAACCGUUCUGACCGCAUAACUGUCCUUUGCCACUACUGUUACCAUAAGUACUAAUACAAAUAAAUGUUAAUGAACAACCGAGGCUGUGUUCAUGACUCGCCGGACACCUUGAGCGUGCUUUAAGCGUGACAAAACGUCGAGAAAUCUACAUCCUGUCAGAAUCGUGCAGAACGCAUCGUAUCGUGGUGACGACACACUAACAACGUUGCAGCCGAAAUAAUUAAGGUGAUAUUUUUGCCGAAUGGCUUCUUCGUCAUUCUACUUCUAAAUUAUACUAACCUGUACUUCUUCGAUGCGAUGGCGAAGUGGUCGUCUGAUGAAAGUUGGCAUCCCUCAAAGGACUUUGGUUGAUUGCGGAGUCCGAGUUUGUUCUCCGCCAAUUGGAAUCGUGCGGAAGAGGCAGAAACCCUCGGCUGAUUUCAAUACGCCAAUAACAACGACACGAUCGACAUAUAUUUAUUCCAUAUUUAUUUCCCUAUGAAAAUAUCCUGCAGGUAGAAUACAAGACAGUCAUGGUACUAUAUACCACAGACAUUCAAAAACCUAGAGAGUAGUCUAACUUAUUGUUGUUGUUGUUGACAUCGUUGGUUGGAUAUUGUCAUGACCCAAUGAAAGGUCGUUAAUUAGGAAAACAGCUUGUACAAAAGGACGCUGCUAGCAAAGGACGCACUUCUAAUGCGCUCAGUUGUCCAAGUAUUCCACUCAUGUGUAGGGCCCGGCUUAGUUCGUAACGUCCCGCUUUGUGCGUAAUUUCCGUCCAUUCGACAUGCAACUUGCACAGCCGAAGUACCUUUACCGACCCCAUUGUUUCCCUUAUAUGGCGUUCUCGUACACAGUGAGUUCAUUCAUUGGCGGAUGCCGCUUCAAGCGCACGCGCCGUCCUUAUACAUAUGUGGGAGGACCCAGGAUGUUAUACUGUGCUAUGUUUUUUUUCUAUUCUAUUAUAUUCUAUAUUCUAAUUUUAUUUGGACCAUUGUACGUCGGACCAGUAGAGCUAUGACUCAAACACGUGUUGCUGAAGCUGUGCGGGAGCUGUGCGCUGAAGGGUGAAUUCGAAAUGUGCGAACAUGUUGAAAAGUAAUAAUGCAAUAGAACAAAAAAAAACGCUAAAUAAAGUCAAGGAAACUAAUUCAUUAAAAAAAUAGAAUACCGUGGACGGAAAUCAGCGAAACGGCACGUAAGGAUGGACGAAUGCCAAGGGGAAAGAGGGGUUAGAGUUGAAGUUAGGUCAGCUACUACAGACUUACCCGUUGG